rnacentral:rRNA from 1 species
CCCUUAGGUGUUCUGGGCCGCACGCGCGCUACACUGAUUCAUGCAACAAGUUUUGUCCUUGGCUGAUAGGCCUGGGUAAUCUUUGAACGUGAAUCGUGAUGGGGAUAGAUGAUUGCAAUUAUUCAUCUUCAACGAGGAAUUCCUAGUAAACGCAAGUCAUCAGCUUGCAUUGAUUACGUCCCUGCCCUUUGUACACACCGCCCGUCGCACCUACCGAUUGAAUGGUCCGGUGAAAUCUUCGGAUCUGAGAGAUGUCUGAUUAAUUUCGGACGCCUUUUGGAAAAGUUGUUUAAACCUUACCAUUUAGAGGAAGGUGAAGUCGUAACA